UGGGGUAGGAUUCCUAUAGUGGCGUCCUCCAUGAAAGCUCUGGGUUAUGGUGGCUCGACGACAUCCUUGGCUUCAGUGCUCCGUUUGAGGUUGGCGGAGAGGAAGCCGGUGUCUGAUAGCUAGUCAUUGGGAUCUAGGUUUUGUCUCGAUUUCGCAAGAGUAACUGCUGCCGACGGAUCUAACCUCGGGGAUGACGGUUCCUCGGUUUAUGAUUCAUGUCCGGUUUAGUUUUGUCUUGCCCCCGUGCUGUUUGUGAAGCUUUGCGAGAUUUCUCGAACUUGGAUGAAGGACUAGACACGAGGUGAUUUUUGCGGUGGCUAGGUUUCCGAUAGUCGGAUCUCCUCCGGUUCGGCGUCUGUUGCCGCGGGACUACUCCGACAGUGGGUUAUCUGACGAGGCAAUUGCUGACAGAGCUGUAUACUGACUUGGACACCCGGUGUUGGCAGUCGCGACAGUCGGUCGUUGGUGAGCAGGGAGCUCAACUCCCCCGGGCUUUUCACCCACGCGGUCUUUCUAGCUUUUUGCGGUUAUUUGUUGUUUUCUUGGUCUAGUUUCAUGUAACCUAGAGUCUCUGUUUUUUCCAGUUGACCGGAGUUGUUGUGCUUCACCGGAUCUCAUUUUUGGAAAAGAUAAAUAUAAAUAUAAAUAUAAUAUAUAUAUACUAUAUAUAUAAUCAGAAAUAUUAAACAUUC
rnacentral:lncRNA from 1 species